AUCCAGAUGACGAGUCCGAAGGGGACGAAACGUGCGUCCUGCAU
rnacentral:hammerhead_ribozyme from 1 species